AUUUAUUUCAGCCCAUUGACUUUGUACACAUUUUUGAGACAUCAUUAUGGUUACUCGAUCGUCAUCAAAGUCAUACCAAGGAAGAAACUUGAAACAAAGAUAAUACUAAAAUAAUGAUGUCAAGAUGACGUCAUCAAGUGAUUUAUUAUUGAUUUUUCAAUAUUUAUUUCAGCCCCAUUGACUUUGUACACAUUUUGAAACCAAUUACCUUUGUAAAUACAUACAAGUGUUGCCUAAGCGUUUGCAUGCGCAUGUCUGUUGCGCUAACAGCUGAUCUGCGCGAUCGGUCGAUGUAAGCAUUGUCGCGCAGUCUUAAUGCAUGGUUUGGAUGGAAAGUUGUGAAGAAAUCCUGCAAAAUAUUGAUAAAAAUGAAAUCUGAGAUUUCGUGUCAUCAGGCCUCAACCGAUUGUUUAAAGUAGUACUCAACACCAAUCGUUCAUGCAUGUAUCAACUAUUUCCGCGGUACUACACGUCAACACAUGGAUUCGAUCGGGACGAUGUUUUCGACGAGCGCAUGUGUUUUCUUAGGACCUCUUCAUGCUCUUGGGACCUCCCGGACCAGAAAUUGCACCAGCUGAGUUCUUAAUGGACUUUGCUUGAUCAGAGGAUUCCAAAGUAAUCCCACGAAAGCUGAACUGGAACCAAAUUCAUGAAACGCGGUGCUAGAAAUUGCACAAGGAGUUGACACCGAUUGGGCAUGAUAACUCGUGGGCAUGGGUUCAUCUAGCCCAUGCCAUGCAUGCCGAGCCUAACAAGCAGACAUACGUGCGGCGCUGCAGCGAGCUGGGUUUGGAAGCUGGCCUUGGACGAAGUGCUGGAACCGGUAGGCAAAACAUUCUUAAUUGCAAGUUUUUGGCUGCACUUUCUGUGCUCUGUAGCUCUGGACAGUGAUGUUAAGGGAAAGAGAAUUGACCCAAAUUAGCUCUGAAUUUGCACUGACAUAACUUGAACUCUAAAAAGGGCCUGUUUUAACAUUUCGAUAUGAUCACCCCAAUCAUGGCAAGGUGAUUAACAGUGAUUGUGUACGUCAUAUGUGUUCAGCACAAUCCAGACAUCAACUUCCACAUAUUCAUUAACCCCCUCCCAAGUACAUUAUUCAACCAUUUUAGUAAGAUGUAUUUUAUUCAAAAGCAAAUCUAAUCCGGAUGGAGCACAAUACAUACUUGUACAUUUUCAGACAUUUCACAGGGGUGCUGAACAUAGGCAUGGAACUGACUAAAGUCCCUCAAAACACUGACGGUGCAUUCUGUAUUUCAUUUCUAUGCCCCCCUCCCCCGAAGACAAACCCAUGUCAUUACGGGUUCAUGGUAAAUAUCCAAACAUGUAUGAAAUUUGGAUGUAGACCUGUAAUUCUUUUUGCAAGCUGUUUAUAUAGAAAAAUUGAAUUUCCUUAUUUGCUUUGUGUGUAUAGGUAUCCUUCAUACUACUUCUGGAAUGAAAGCUGGAGAAUGGAGAUAAAUCUGUUCUCCGUGUUAUUUCUGAACAUUGGAAUUCAACAUAACUGCAGUUACAUGUAGAUAUCAGAGGCACAAGUACCAAAAAUAAAGGAAGCUGCAUGCAAUAAAGCGUGGAAAUUAACAGAUGUUCAUCAGCACAGUCAUGAGGGUGGUCUUCACACAAGUCCCUGGUAUCGUUGAUAUGAAGUGCAGUUGAAGCAGGAUGGAUCCUGAGAAGGGUGGGAACAGCUUCUUUAAAAUACCCGUAGCUAGACUGCAACCAACAGGAACUGAAUAUUUCAAGACAUCCUUUAUGCUGCUGCUGAAGUGAAAGCUACAGAUGAUAGUUCUGCAUGUUUGGAAUUCAACAUCACUGCAGUUACAUGUAGAUCAGAUGCAUGGCUACCCUUGAUAAAGGAAGGUGCUGUACAGCAAAGCAAGGAAAUUAUAAGCUGUAUUUGAGAAGAUGGCCAUCGAGUGCUACCGAUGUAAGGUGACCUUCACAACCAAACAAGGGUUAUGGCCUCACCUUCGACUAGUCCAUGGGCCGCCCUUGUACCUGUGUUGUAAGCGGUGUAGCUACAGGGACAAAAGGAGGGACAACCUCAGACGACACUAUCGUUCUUGCCAUCCAGAUUAUCUUGAUGAGUGCAGCAGUGUCCAAAUGACAGAGGAUCGACAAGACGGGGGUAUUACGAUGCCCUGUUCCAGUAGUCCAAGGUCGUCGGUGGGAAGAAUGGUCAACGAGGGGGUGGUAGGUUCGGCUGCACCGACUGAGAGGGUGGCUCCCCGAGAUGGGGUUGAUGAGGAUGCUCUAGGUAUAGGUGAGACCUCAUCAGCUGGGAAGGGCCCAGCUGAAGAUGAAAAGGCCUCUCACUCCACGGUGAGCAACCUGU
rnacentral:lncRNA from 1 species